GCCGGGGUGGCUUAGUUGGUAGAGCGUCGGACUCAUAAUCCGAAGGUCGCGGGUUCAAGCCCCGCUCCCGGCACCA
rnacentral:tRNA from 1 species